UGUAUUCAGUUGUCCCUUCCUCCAUCCAUUCCUCUUAUCUCUCCCCAUACUCCAUUCAAAUCCCUUCUCUAUGGUCUUGGUAUCGUCCAUUCCUACCAAACUUUUCUCCUCCUUAUUGAUAUGGCUUCACCUUGUGGCUGCUUCGGCUUCUCGCGCACAACUCUGAAGAUGUGUAGAGUUCGAGCUUUUGCCCUUUUUCGGGUGCCUGCACCACCUCCUUAUACUAUGUUGAUUUGUGUUUGUUCUGGUGCUUUGUCAGGUUUGAUUUGGGAGGUGAUGAUCUUCUUGUGGCUGAUUUCUUUUUUCUUGUUUGUGUCUUUGAUAUAUAUGGGAUUUUUUGGUAUUUGGGUGGAUCUGUGGGUCGUGCAAUUUUUUCAUUUUGUGUCCCUUAGAUGUGGCAGCUCUUCCCCUCAACUUGUCCCCUUGAUGUCGUCUCGUGUGGUGUUGGCGGCGGCUCGGUUGAAUUUUGGUUAGGGUUUGCUAGCUUUCUUGGCCUUGGUUUUUGCCUGUUGGCUUAAUGCCUUCCUGGUUUUAAGCUUGUUGCUCUUUUCUUUGUAUUUUAUUUGGGCCUUUGGCCUUUUUGUUUUGUUGUUGAGCCUAGUUGGUUGGGUUUCAUUUUUUGUUGUAUUGUUAUACCCUUUUGUGGGUUUCUAAUGAAAACUACAUUCGAACAAAA
rnacentral:lncRNA from 1 species